ACGUAAACUAGUAUAAUUCUUGAAACUUCUACCCCCAAUAUGGAUGUGAAGAUUUUCUUGAUUCAUUAGAGAUCCUUGUAUUUUUGGAUAUUUUAUAUUUGAGAAUAACAUACAAUUUGCCAAUACCUGCUCCCCAUCAACAUGCAUUCUAAUGUUACACCGAUCAACUGCCUUUGUCAAUUCUUUAUUGUCUGUUUUUGCAGGAAUCUUCUAGCUUGGAUGGAAGGAUGGAGGAGGGAAUAAAGGGAAUGAGUACAGAAGUUAUCCAGCCUGCUGACUGAGAAACGUAAAUAGCCUAUGCUUGGCUGUCUAUACCUCUUCGUCUGACACCCUUUUUUCUAAGAGUGUAGUGUACAAAACCUUUGUGUCCUGAUUUAACAGACACCUCCCUUGGUGAGCAAUGUUUUCUCUAAACUGUUGCCCAGAGACUGUCGCGAGCGUAGAAGAAAUAUCAGCCAACAGAGAGAAGCACGAGAUUGAACUUCACUCAAAUUCCUAGAGUUUUCCCUGUUAAUUAACACUAUCAGCGUUUUCCGUUACUGUGGCAAUUGUGAUCAAAUCUAAGCAAUAUUAGCAACUUUCAAUGCAACAUGCUAAAACAAAACAAACUAUUUAAGAGAUGUUGUUGUAGGCAGAUUGCAUCGGAGCAGGAUUCUAUUGGGCAUGACUCAGCCUGUACUGUACACAGACCAGUGAUGCAUUACCAAUCAGAGCUGCAGUAGACCUAUAUGCAAAUAGACCAUAUGGAUCUGUGGUGUUUACUUUUGUCUGAACUGUGUUGACAGCUGUGGUCUGAGUAGAUUAUCUUGUUUCGAGAUCAAAGCAUGAGCUGCAUGUAGCCAUGUGUCCACAUUUUGUUCAUAAUUUGUAGUCAGCAAUGGGGGAGUGAUUGCUUCCUACAAGAUCUCAAAACGUGUGCAUUUCUAGACAUCUUUGAAAGGCAGGUCAGGUAAAUAGCUUUUUUUGUCUUAAAGGGGCAGUGUUGUAUUUUGAGACAAGCUUGAAUAAGCUAAGUAGCCAAUAGGCAGAGGGUAGCAUAAUUUGUCUGAUUCUUUGUAAUAAUGGUAUGGGAAUAAUAAUGCAUUUUAUUUUGUAAAUUGUUUUCUUGCAUCAAACAACAACAUUUUCAGUUACCUCCUUGUCUGAAGGACAACUGGAUAAGCAGGUUAAUGUCAAGCCCUGCAUGUUUUUUUCAAAAGUCUCAUAAUUUAGAACACCACACAUUGGCUGCUACUGUAGGCUGAAUGAUAGAACAUCUAUUUCCAUGUUAAAAUGUUAUGGGAUGCAUUUUCUUUAUUGUUGUUGAUGAUAGACCACUCUGUUAGGCCUACAUUAUGAUCAAAUAGCCACUGUAACCUAUCUGGCCGUUGUUAAAACUGUAACUUAAAAUGGGUACAGCCUCAGUGUUCACAGCAAAAGCACGCUGGAAGUUCAUUCAAGUUUGCACUCAGCAGACCUGAAAUUUGCUCAGUGCCGGAAUUUUUUUUAGGUAACAUUGUUGGUGAGUUGUAGUUUCUCCAAUUUCUCUCUGUUGCUCACUCAAACACGUGUGCAGUUGCUGAGAAGAGGACGAGAUUUGCCAAUUACACCCAUUUCUAACACUAUUUGUUGCAUUAAUGAUAUGACAGACAUCACCUUUGAACAAUAUAAUAUUUUAUUGUCUUUACACAUACUUACAUUUAACUUUCUUUUUUUAAGACUGCCAAGCUAUCCUCAAUUGGGGAACCUCUGUCCGGGACAAUGUCCUCAGGAUUAGGUAGCGGUGUGUUUAUAAAAAGCGUUUAGAAUAUUACAUGUAUUAAGAUAAAGCAAAACUUUACCAUUUAGAGAGGAGUUAAACAUUUUCAUUAUCCAACUACUGUCUAAUUUUUAUAUCCUCUUUCUUCAAAAUGUUUCAGAUUCAUGAACAAUGAAUUUAUGUCCGAACUUCAAUAUGUAGGGACCGAGGAGCAAACAUGCAUUUGCUACCACUUUUAGUAGAUUCUGACUGUUAAAAUAUAUUUUACUGUGCAUUACUGUCAUGUCGUGUCCUGCUUGCCCACACUGUUGUUUUUUUUUAAUGCUCACAGUAAGUGUCAUGAAAAGCCAGAAAACUCAGGAGAUUGAUGUGUUGCGGGCCCUCUGGAAAGUCCCGAAAUAUGCCCCUGAGCCGUGUUGGUGAAGGAAGCAAAGUAUAAGCAAGUUGCACUUUUUUAAAGACAUCUCGAAGCUAUAUCUGCCACAAAAUACUUCAACUAGUACCAUGCAAAUACUUUUAGCCAGCUGAGUCCACAAAGUUUCUUCAAGAAUGUCCUUUCCUAGUUUGCUUAUAAAAUCUCAAAUUGGUAAAGUUGUAAUGCGCUGAUUCUCGUCACUGCAGAUCUGAGCCAUCACACGACUCUUCAAGAAGGCCACUAUGCUCCAGAUCACCAUCUGUGCUCAGAGAUCCUUGAGGAUCUACCCCAUCACACCACUCGUAUUAAUCAUUAAUCAAAUAAAACAAUUGGCCUUUAUAUACUCACAGUAUUUAUAUGCAUGUCAUUUCUGUUGAUGAAUUAUUAAACAAUUACUGUACACAGAUGUGUGAAAAA